rnacentral:lncRNA from 1 species
AGAAAGAUAUAUUUAAUACAGGCUAUGACCUCUAAUAGCAGGCAGAUGGAGAUAAGCACUUCUCUCCCUGGUGUUUUUCAGCUAGCUUAGCCAAGCAGCUGCUUGGAGCAUCCCCAGUGGAGGAGCUCCUCCAGUUUUCCCAUGGGAAACAAGAGGAUAAUGCAGUGGCAGCCUUUUGAGUUCACUUGCUGCAGGUCAUAUAGCAACUGGAAGCCUGCCCUGGCCUCAGAGAGGAUCUGCAGUGCCCACAGGAAUCAUGGGGUCUGAAGUAAUAAUUUAUAGCACACUUCAAUGGUAGCUGUUAGAACAAGGUUACUUCCAGGGUGAAAGGA